rnacentral:snoRNA from 1 species
CAGACUAUACUUUCAGGGAUCAUUUCUACAGUUCGUUACUAGAGAGGUUUCUCUGACUGUGUAGAGCAUCGGAAGCCACGAGGAGGAAGCACAGCGUUCUUCCUGAGUGUGAAGCUGGCUCUCGGUGUUGCUUUGCUGCAACUGCCAUUUGCCAUUGAUGAUCGCUCUUCUUGCCUUUCUUGGGCAGUAAGAGGGAGAGGGGGA